USKWCCYUGUGUAUSAUGGGCUACCUAUAUUCAAUUUUAUCAACUAACCCGAAAGCGGAAGUGAGCUACCCUUACCCAGCUUAGAGCCCAAACUAAAAUGUUUAAAAUUUUAUGAAGAGGGUAAGGUAGAGAUUAUAUGUCAUUCGCACCUGCAGAUAGCUGGUUACUCUUGAAAUGUGUUUUAGCACACCACCCAGUAUGGUGGAUACUAGUCCUGGGAUAAGCUAGAGUUAGUAUAAGAUUUAUAUUUUAAUAAUAUAUUAAUUUACCUAGGGUUAAGAACAGCCAGGGGUAGGAGUCCCUCAUAAGACAGAUGAAUAAACUAUAUAAUUAUAUAACCGUAAUCCAAAGUUUAAAGAGUUAGAAUAGUCUAACAGACCCACAUUCUCGACAAUGUUAGCAUAAGUAUAAGUAUAAUAGUACUUCGUACUGUAUUCUCAAAAUAAGCAAAGGAACUCGGCAAAUAGAGCAACGGCUGUUUAACAAAAACAUAGCUUCUAGAAAUUAUUAGAAGUGCUGUGUGCCCGGUGAUUGUAAAAAUUUAACGGCCGCGUUUUCGUGYUAAGGUAGMGUAAUAAUUUGCCUUUUUAUUGGAGGCGAGUAUGAAUGGAUUAACGAAGAUCAACUGUCUCUACAUAUUGCAUAAAAAUUAAUAUCCAGGUGAAAAAGCCYUGAUCYUUUUGGAGGACGAAAAGACCCYAUAGAGUUUGUAGUGUAGCAGCAAUUUUAUAGUAUAGAUCAGAUAUUGUAGUAUAGGUGAACUUACUGUACACUUUUAUUGGGGCAAUAUUAGAACAAUAAAAACUYUAUCAAAAAAUAUUUUACAAUUGUAAAUUUAAGAUCCUCAAAGAGAAUAAAGAAAAACUACCUUAGGGAUAACAGCGUAAUUUCC
rnacentral:rRNA from 1 species